GACGAACCGUGCAAACGUUGUUCGGAAUCACUGGGCUUAAAGGGCGCGUAGGCGGGUUCCCAAGUCGGUGGUGAAAUCUUUCGGCCCAACCGGAAAAGUGCCGCCGAUACUGGGAGUCUCGAGGGAGGUAGGGGUCGAUGGAACUUCCGGUGGAGCGGUGAAAUGCGUAGAUAUCUGGAGGAACACCGGUGGCGAAGGCGGCAUCCUGGACCGGCAUUGACGCUGAGGCGCGAAAGCCAGGGGAGCAAACGGG
rnacentral:rRNA from 1 species